AUUGUCUUGACGUUACCGACAGAAUAAGCACCGGCUAACUCUGUGCCAGCAGCCGCGGUAAUACAGAGGGUGCAAGCGUUAAUCGGAAUUACUGGGCGUAAAGCGCGCGUAGGUGGUUUUAAGUUGAAUGUGAAAUCCCCGGGCUCAACCUGGGAACUGCAUCCAAAACUGGCAAGCUAGAGUACGGUAGAGGGUGGUGGAAUUUCCUGUGUAGCGGUGAAAUGCGUAGAUAUAGGAAGGAACACCAGUGGCGAAGGCGACCACCUGGACUGAUACUGACACUGAUGUGCGAAAGC
rnacentral:rRNA from 1 species